GAUUAUGGCUCAGAACGAACGCUGGUGGCGUGUCUUAUACAUGCAAGUCGAGCGAGGCAGCAAUGCCGAGCGGCGAACGGGUGAGUAACGCGUAAGCAAUCUGCCCCAUAUCAGGAAAUACCCGUGCCAACGCGCGGUUAAUGUCCAGGAGAGUGGCUCCUUGCAUGAGGAGUUGACUAGAGAUUUAUCGGUAUGGGAUGAGCUUGCGUCCGAUUAGCUAGUUGGCGGGGCAACGGCCCACCAAGGCGACGAUCGGUAGCCGGCCUGAGAGGGUGAUCGGCCACAUUGGGACUGAGAUACGGCCCAGACUCCUACGGGAGGCAGCAGUAGGGAAUAUUGCACAAUGGGGGAAACCCUGAUGCAGCAAUGCCACGUGUUGGGAAGAAGCAUUUCGGUGUGUAAACCACUGUCAUGAGGGAAUAAGGCCCAGUUUAGGCUGGGACUUGAAUGUACCUUGAGAGGAAGCACCGGCAAACUUCGUGCCAGCCGCAGC
rnacentral:rRNA from 1 species